CACAAAGAACAGCAGUAGAUUGGUAUUCCUAGAUCUUCACGCAAAUCCUGUCAAUUACCAAUAACAUACCAUCACGCCCAAAGCGCACAUUAGCACUAAUAGCCAUCUUCUCCCAGAAAUAGGCGGGACUUUUCGAAACUAUUACAUCUUUCCCCCCUAAAAUUUCUGCCACCCACUGUUUUCUAUCUCUUUUUUGCCUCUUAACAAAACCCUAACCCGCCAAUAGUUUUUCCCCUUAAUAAUCUUAAUCUAAAUAAAUAGAGUAAUAGUAAAUACUACUAGUUGGGGCAGGGCAAAAAGCGCACAACGUUGAAAGAAUUUGAAGCGAUAAAGGCGAUGACGGAUAAGGGGCAAGAUGGUAAUAGUAUAUCCGCCAUUAAUGGCGGUGACAAUCAAGAAUUACUGCUAGUUAAAAAGGUACAAGUACAAGAAGAGAUUACCCUUUUCACAGAAGAAGGAAGCCAAAACGGCUGCGUUGACGGUGUCGUUUCGGUUAGCCAAAACAGUACUAGCCUUUUUGGGGAGGAAAAGUCUGAAAAUAAGGCAGAGGGAAUGGAGGAUUCGACUAUUGUCAAGGUAGAGAACGAAACUGGGGAUACUAUUAUGAAGGAAGCUGAGGGAGAGGGAAUGGAAUCUCCGGUGGAGGAGAGGAAGUGCGAGAAGGAAACCGCGACUAUUAUGGAGGAGAAUUUAGAUCUAAAAAAAGAAGAAGGGAUGGUCUUGACGGAAGUCGUUAAAAAACCAAAAGGAAAAAGGGGGAGACCGCCCAACAAAGAUAAGCAAAAGAAAAACAUUGAUAAUAAAGAGAAGAAAAGCAAUAAUCUUGGUAGGAAAAAGAAAGAGGAAAGCGAUAGUGAGAGAGAAGAGAAAGAGGAGAAAGAGAAGAAAAGCAAUAAUCUUGGCAGGAAAAAGAAAGAGGAGAGUGAUAGUGAGAGAGAAGAGGAGGAGGAGGAGAAAGAGAAAGAGAAGAUUGAUUCUGAUGAAGUGACUGCUGGUAGGCCAAGGAAGUCAAGUUUGAAAGCUAGGGAGAAGUUAAGUGUAUAUACACAGGAAAUGGCUGAAUGGGAUGAAGAAGACCGCAAGACAAGUAAGAAAAGAAGGGCUAGGAGGAAAACACAAGAGAACGGUGAUUGUCAGAAAAAGCAUGGAAGAAAGAGGUUUGUGGAAAAUGGUGGAGAUUCGGAUAGCAAAGAGGAGGGAAAUGGGAAUAAAAAACAUAAGGCUGAGAGAGAAGAGUCAGAGUCUGGAAAACAUUCUUUAGGCCAAAGGAAACUUCCACAAGAUAAUGCAUCAAAUCCCCGUAAUAGAAAGAGGAAGGAUGAGAAUGGUAAUGAGAUUCAAUCAAAUAUGUGUCAUCAGUGCCAGAGGAAUGACAAAGGAAGGGUUGUUCGCUGCACCAACUGUAAAACAAAGCGAUACUGUGUUCCUUGCAUGGCCACAUGGUACCCUGGGAUGCCAGAGGAGGCUUUUGAAGAGUCUUGUCCUGUUUGUCGUAGAAACUGUAAUUGCAAAUCAUGUUUGCGGUUGGACGGACCAAUAAAGGAUUUGAAGAACUUAAAAUUUGAGAUUAGCAAAGAAGAAAAGGUUCAAUAUUCUAAAUUUAUUUUGCAACAACUUUUGCCUUUCUUGAGAAAAUUUAACGCAGAGCAAGUGGUGGAGAUGGAGAUUGAAGCUAAGAUUCAAGGGUUACCAGUGUCAGAGUUAAUGCUGCAGAAGGCAAAUUGUCAGGAGAAUGAGCGAAUGUACUGCAACAACUGCAAAACAUCCAUUUUUGAUUUUCACAGAAAUUGUUCCAGUUGUUCCUAUGAUCUUUGCCUUACUUGUUGCCGGGAGCUUAGAGAUGGUCACCUUAAGGGAGGUGAAGUAGAAGUCAUCAUGGAUUUCGUUGACAAAGGGGUUGCUUAUCUGCAUGGUGAUAUGGAAGCUGAUUCUUCACCAGGUAUCAGAACUAGACCUUCAAGAAAGCCUAGAUUUCCCAAGAAGAUGGUUGAAAAUGAUUCCGAGGGUGAUGCCAGGUUGGCAUUUGAAAUGGAACCUGGGGAUAAUGGAAGGAUUCUGCCAGAGAAUUCUGGUGGUCCUGCUGGUGAAUGGAAAUCCAAUGAAGAUGGUAGCAUCCCUUGUCCACCAGAGAAUUUUGGUGGUUGUGGUAAGGGAAAUUUAGAGCUGAAGUGCCUGCUGCUGAAAAAGCCAAAACAACAUUCGGUCUCUGAGUUGUUGGAAAAAGCUGAAGACAUUGCCAAAAAAUUCGAAUGGGAAGACAAGCCUGAAGUUCCUCAGGGACUAUGCUUCUGUAGAAAUUUAGUGGAUGAAAAUGAUAUGCAGGAAAGUAAAAUGUGUAAAGCAGCAUCUCGUGACGGUUGUGAUGACAACUAUUUAUACUGUCCAGCAGCUAAAGAUCUUAAGCAGGAGGAUCUGAAGCAUUUCCAAUGUCACUGGCGGAAAGGUGAGCCUGUGAUUGUCCGCAAUGUGCUUGAGACUGGGUCAGGGUUAAGCUGGGAGCCCAUGGUUAUGUGGCGAGCUUGUCGCCAGAUAAAGAACUUAAACCACCCUCUUCUUUUGGAUGUCAUUGCUAUCAACUGCUUAGAUUGGUGUGAGGUAGAAGUUAACAUCCACCAGUUUUUUAAGGGAUAUAUGGAAGGUCGAACUGAUAAUGCUGGGUGGCCCCAGAUUCUGAAAUUGAAAGAUUGGCCUCCAUCAGAUUUAUUUGAUGAACGAUUACCUCGUCAUGGCGCAGAGUUUGUUAACAGCUUGCCUUUUAAGGAGUACACACAUCCACAAAGUGGCUACCUAAAUCUUGCUGUCAAACUGCCAGACAAAUCAUUGAAGCCCGACAUGGGACCAAAGACAUAUAUUGCUUAUGGAGUUCCUCAGGAGCUGGGGCGUGGAGACUCUGUCACUAAGCUGCAUUGUGAUAUGUCCGAUGCGGUGAAUGUGUUGACACAUACUCAAGCAAUAAACCUGACGCCUAAGCAGCUUUCAGAGAUGGAAAAAGUAAAAAGAAACCAUGCUGCCCAAGAUAAAAAGGAACUUCAGAUGGUUGGGGAGGAGAAACAAUGCAAAAAUGAAGUAUCAUCUGAGUUGAUUGAUGACCACUCCGUGCAAGGUGAGAGUAGUAGAAGAGACGAAGAAAAAACUGAUCUAUUUGAAGUUCAAAGCUUGAGUGGUGAACCAAAUUGUGGCAAUCAGUCAACUAUUCCAUCAGCUUCUUGUGUGGAACCAGAGGGAGAUACUGGCACUGACGUGGUAAUAAAUGGUGCAGUAAGUUCUACUAGCACUUGUGAAGCAAAUGGAGGAAUUAAAAUUGAUAAUGAUAAAAGUGAUGAAUGCAAAGAUAAACCAGUGUUUGGAAAAAGUGAAGUAUUUGAGGAUAUAGAAGGGGGUGCACUCUGGGACAUCUUUAGAAGGCAAGAUGUUGCCAAGUUAGAGGAAUAUCUCAAGAAGCACUUUAAGGAAUUCAGGCAUAUCUACUGUUGCCCAGUACCGCAGGUUGUUCACCCCAUACAUGAUCAAACAUUUUACUUGACUGAGGAUCACAAAAGGAAGCUUAAGGAAGAGUAUGGAGUUGAACCAUGGACUUUCGUUCAAAAUUUAGGGGAUGCAGUUUUUAUACCUGCGGGCUGCCCUCAUCAAGUUAGAAACUUGAAGUGAUUAAAAAAUGUCUCAACCCGACUGGCUUAGAAAUAUGGUACAAGAGCUAAUGCGACCAAUAGGAGCAAAGUUACAUAUUUUUAUUUGUAGCUAUACAUUUACCGGCGGAAUUUGGCACCAAAAACAUCUAAUUGGUACUUACAGCAACGUUCAAUGCUGUACAAGAUGCUUGGAGGUUGUGAGGGAAGAAAUAAAAAAAUAUGUUUAGGAAAAAAAGGAGCUAAAACGUCAAAUGUUACAUCAACCAAAUGUGACUAAUCUUGAUGAUGAUGAUGAUUAUGAAAAUAAGGUGAAGCUGUUGAUUUGUCCCUUCCUUCAAAAUCACAAAAAGGGGCAAACGCAAACAAUGCAACAAUCUCUUCAAGUUAUGGAUCAACUGGUAUGAAAGGUUCCUUUAGAUUGUUACUUUCAAUAGAUGCUAGUUGAUAAUGUAGGGACAAGCGAUAAAAAAAGUUUGCAAGCCACUGCCAAGGGUAUUUUGACGGAGCGUGCAAUUGCGGUUUUUUCACGAUGAAUGUACGAUGCAGGGCUCCCCUUCAAUUGUAUCAACUAUACCGACACUUUUGGAGCCUUGAUUGACGCCGUCGGCCAUUAUGGUGCAGGAAUGUAGCCACCCACUUAUCAUGAAGUUAGUAACUCUUAUCAUGAAGUGGACGGCAAGAUUCCAUCAAGAUGUUCUCUUUGUUUCAGAGCACCAUAGAGAAGAUUGGAGCAGAGAAUGUUGCUUAAGUUGUUACAGAUAAUGCAGUUAAAAAUGUUAAAGUAGGUGCUAUGUUGAAGGGAGUGUUCCCACACAUAUAUUGGACUCCAUGUGCAGUUUAUUGUAUAAAUUUGAUGUUCGGAGAUAUUUUCAAGGAAAGACCCUUCACAGGAGUUUUCAUUAAGGCAGUUAGGGCAGUUUCUUACAUUGUUCAAAGGCCUUUGUUGUUGAACUUGAUGAGGAGAUUCACAAAACUAAAAAACUUGGUGAAACCUGGCAAGGCCAGAUUUGCUAUUGCCUAUUGCUUUCUUGACUUUGCAACGUAUGCACACGCAAAGGCCAAUUUGAAAAGCUUGUUCAUUUCAGAUGAAUGGAACAAUAGUAAAUUUGUAAAAGAAGUUACGGGAAAAGAAGUUGCAUGCAUAAUGAUGUCUUACACUUUUUGGAAUAGUGUUGUUCAUGCUCUUAAAGUUGGCGGGCUCUUGAUUAAGGUACUUCAUGGGGAGCAAAAACCACUCAUGGGCUACCUUUUUGAAGUUAUGGAUAAGGUUAAGGAGUUUAUUUGAAAAUCAUUUAGUGACCCGCAUAAAUAUGCAAAGGUCUUUGACAUCAUUGAUAAAAGGUGAGCGGAUCAACUUUAUCAACCUUUGCAUGCCGCUGGGAAUAUAUUGAACCUAUCACUCUUUAAUGAUAACAAUGAGAUGAAAUUACUAAAUCCAAAAGUGACGAAGGAAUUCUAUGAGUGUGUUGCUAUGUUGGUUCCCGAUGAAGAUGAGCAAGAUAAAAUAAGGGAUCAACUAAGUGCUUAUAGUAAUGCUGAUGGAACUUUUGGAAUAGGAAUGACUAUAAGACAAAGAAAGAAGAAGUCACCAGUUGUAUGUCGGAGGCUUUAUGGUGGAGACACUCCAGAUUUACAAAAGCUUGCCAUUAAAGUUCAGGUCUAACUUGUAGCUCAUCCGGAUGUGAGAGAAACUGGAGCGUGUUUGAACAUAUUCAUAGCAAGAAGAGGAAUAGACUAGUGUCUCAAUUGUCUCAACUCCUAAAGCGCCUCAAUGACCAAUUCUUAAAAUACAAUAGAACAUUGAGGCAUCCUUACAACACUCGCAAUGUAAUUGAUCUAAUUGGUUUGGACAAUGUUGAUGAUGCUAAUAAAUGGCUAACCAGAUUUGAGAGUGCUGAAGAUGAAGCAAUUUUUGAGGUUAGAUUCUGAUUUCACUUUCCGUGUUGUUGCCGAGGCAAUGAGAGUUGAGGAGAAACCACUAUGAUUUAAGGGGGAAUACUUCAAGCCAACAGAAGAGGGGAAAAAUAGUAGCUACAAAUCAUUCUCUAGCUGAUGAGGUUGAAGAAGAUGAAUGAUGAUGGAGGAAUACCAGAUUUUGACAAUCUUGUAGAAGAAUAAGAAUUAGAUGUUGAACAAUUAAUAGCUUUGAUUUUGUUUGUCCUAUGGUCUAUGGAGGAUUUUGUGAUAUCUACUUUUUAGUUUUUAAUAUGAACUUUUGCUUAUGUA